CCACUUGUACUCAUUUUUCUUUCAUAAUCUGCUUCUUCCUUCGUCCGAUAGCAGCAGCACAGCCCAAAAUUCCUCAAUCUAGCUUGACUGCCGGCCACCUCCUGGAUCAAUCCUCUCGCUCAUCGUCCUCCAGCUUGCCGACCGUGGCGGAGGUCCAGAUCCGGUGCCCACCUGGGAAAGUACGGCCAGUAGAGGUGCUGUUCCAGCUCCUGGUCGUCUCGUCGCCGCCGGUGCUACUCCGGCGGAUCUCGCCCUGUUCCAAGCCACGACCUUGUGCGAACAAGCACUUCAGGAUACUCUGCUCCGGCGGUUAGAGGUCGACCUCGCCCCGUACUUCUUCCUACCCCAACCCACCAUUCUCCACACGUUGCGCCCUACUCCUGUGCGGCUAGCUCGGCCACCCACCGACGCCAGAGAAGAAAUCUUGGGUCUUAAGAUCGGAGCUUGUCGACUAGUGCUAGGCUCGGCCUCCGUUGUUCUGCUGUUGCAUCUCAAUCUGAAAUGCAGGGAAGUAGUAUUUUACAUAUGUCAUGGCCUACUGGAGUGUCCGAACAAUAGCUGUUGAGCUCUUUUCAGCAAAAAAAAGAUGGAUUGAACUGAUGAAGUUUAUAUAGAGUCGCCUUGAGAAAAAAAAGUUUAUAUAGAGUCCAUGGAGGUUGUCAUCUAUUCCAGCAGAUGAAGGUCGAUUAGCAAGUCACUACAAAAGGAAGGCAAGAUCAUAGAUCUUUUCUGUCAUCCAUCAAUCCUUAAUACUUGGUUUUCCUGGAAAUGUAGUAAAAACGAUCUAUGUAUGCCUCUUGUGUUGUGUUCUCAUGUACUUGAAUACUCAAAUGCUUGUUGAGAUAUAAUGUACCAUCAGUCCUUAAUACGCGGUCUACCUGGGAAUGUACUACAAAAGAUCUGUGUAUGCCUUUUGUGUUGUGUUCUCAUGUACUA